UUUGUGUUUGAUCGACCUUAAGAAAACGUAACUUCCGGGAAAUUAUCUUUAUAUAAAUUGCCUUGUAUGCAGGCUGUGUGUGUGUGUGUUUUGUAACACAUGUAGGCAGUGUGUUAUAAGAGCAUGUACAACCCAAAGACGGUAGCAUUUAAUGUGGUCCAAUGCUAAUCUCUUAAUUAAGAGUUCUUACAAAUAAAAAAUUAAUAAAAAAAAUUUUAAAAAAAAAUAUUUCUUAAAUAAAACAUAGUAAAAGAUAACAUUUUAAACAAACCAUGAAACAAAAAUUAGUACAAUAAACGAGAAUAAAAGAAGCAUCACAGCUCAGUUGUUGUCUUGAUCAUGUCCAAUUUUUUGUCAUAUAUGUUCAACCAAAUCAUUUUUCAGUUGUUGAUGCAUUUGUAUAUCACGAAUUCUUCUUCGAGCAUCCAUCAUAUUAGCGAUAUUUGUAGGGAUAUCUGUAUAAUACGUGAGAUCGACAUGUGAACUUUUGUUGUCUUCUGCUUGUUGGAACUCUGAAACGUCAAA
rnacentral:lncRNA from 1 species